AACGAACGCUGGCGGCAUGCCUAACACAUGCAAGUCGAACGAGACCUUCGGGUCUAGUGGCGCACGGGUGCGUAACGCGUGGGAACCUGCCCUUAGGUUCGGAAUAACUCCCCGAAAGGGGUGCUAAUACCGGAUAAUGUCUUCGGACCAAAGAUUUAUCGCCUUUGGAUGGGCCCGCGUUGGAUUAGCUAGUUGUUAGGGUAAAAGCCUACCAAGGCGACGAUCCAUAGCUGGUCUGAGAGGAUGAUCAGCCACACUGGGACUGAGACACGGCCGAGACUCCUACGGGAGGCAGCAGUGGGGAAUAUUGGACAAUGGGCGAAAGCCUGAUCCAGCAAUGCCGCGUGAGUGAUGAAGGCCUUAGGGUUGUAAAGCUCUUUUACCCGGGAUGAUAAUGACAGUACCGGGAGAAUAAGCUCCGGCUAACUCCGUG
rnacentral:rRNA from 1 species